rnacentral:lncRNA from 1 species
UGACCCAGCCUAGGGCGGGAGGAGGAGGUGGAAAGUGAGGUGACGAGUCCAGACACCUUGUUGAGGGCACCGGAAGGGUCCGGAACAGGCGGAGGUACCUGAAGCGCCCUGAGGUCCCUGCCAUCAGAUAUGGGUGGUUAUAGCAGAUAUUUCAGCAAUGAUUUUCACAACAGAUUGUGGAUUGGAUGAACCUCAUUCAUUUACAACAUGAAGUACAAUACCAGGACUCUGCCCUUUCAUUGCCUUCAUGGUGACAGAAUACCAGGUUUCAUUCUAGAAGAGAAACACAGUACAGUUCCUGGUCCAGCGGCUUGAUUUUCAUGUUUCUACCUAGAACAUGUAUGUAAAACUUACAUUAGUUUUAUCUUAGAUUUUUAUAGUCCUUUUAUAUGUGUAUUAUUUAUCUUUCCAGAGUAGAUAAUUUUCAUUCUGCAACAGUGUAUUGUGAUUUUUAUUUUACUAAUAAGGCUGUCCUUGUAGAACCAUUCAUUCAGUGAGGCAAAAGGAAAGACCAUAGUGAUAGAAUCAUGGUUCACAGAUACUUUUGGCAUAUAUUUAUGACACAGGUAUCGAACAUCCUUUAUAUGAGCAUCUAUAGGGCAACCAGGUGGUACAGAGGAUAGAGCAUCAGGCGAUGGCUGCAUAACCUGGCCAACUCCUAUAAUCCAGUUUGCU